UACGGAGGGUGCGAGCGUUGUCCGGAAUCACUGGGCGUAAAGGGCGCGUAGGCGGCCUGAUAAGUAGGGGGUGAAAUCCUGCGGCUUAACCGCAGGGCUGCCUUCUAAACUGUCAGGCUAGAGCACAGUAGAGGCAGGUGGAAUUCCUGGUGUAGCGGUGGAAUGCGCAGAUAUCAGGAGGAACACCGAUGGCGAAGGCAGGUCUCUGGGCAUUAACUGACGCUGAGGAGCGAAAGCAUGGGGAGCGAACAGG
rnacentral:rRNA from 1 species